CCAAAGGUUCUUUUCAGAGCCACCAUUUGGCCUAAAAGACCUGAG
rfam:Dipodomys ordii contig_75928, whole genome shotgun sequence.